rnacentral:rRNA from 1 species
GACGAACGCUGGCGGCGCGCUUAACACAUGCAAGUCGAACGGAAAGGCCCUGCUUUUGUGGGGUGCUCGAGUGGCGAACGGGUGAGUAACACGUGAGUAACCUGCCCUUGACUUUGGGAUAACUUCAGGAAACUGGGGCUAAUACCGGAUAGGAGCUCCUGCUGCAUGGUGGGGGUUGGAAAGUUUCGGCGGUUGGGGAUGGACUCGCGGCUUAUCAGCUUGUUGGUGGGGUAGUGGCUUACCAAGGCUUUGACGGGUAGCCGGCCUGAGAGGGUGACCGGCCACAUUGGGACUGAGAUACGGCCCAGACUCCUACGGGAGGCAGCAGUGGGGAAUAUUGCACAAUGGGAGGAAGCCUGAUGCAGCAACGCCGCGUGCGGGAUGACGGCCUUCGGGUUGUAAACCGCUUUCGCCUGUGACGAAGCGUGAGUGACGGUAAUGGGUAAAGAAGCACCGGCUAACUACGUG